AGUCAUCAGAAACCGAAAAGAAAUUGCAUUCAUUGUGGCUAAAAUUGAGAGACAGGUCAUGCUUCCACCACAGUAAAUAUUUAGACAAUGAGGCCUGUAACAUUU
rnacentral:snoRNA from 1 species